rnacentral:lncRNA from 1 species
CUACAACUCCCAGCAGGCAGCGCGGCUCCGUCAGAGGCGGCCGGGAUCCUGUCAGCGAGGGGCCGUGCCCGCGCUGGAGCCUGCCGGCGGCUGGUGACAUUCUUUUCGAAAUGCUGCGCUUAAGUUUGGCUUCUUAAUGUCAUAAUAGCAACAGCUCGACAUCUCGCGCUGCUCCUGAAGCGCAGGGUUGGUCUGUGCGCUGGUCCUGCUGUCACCUCCAUGGAGAAGCCCAAAGGCAGAAUGAGAGACAAGCGACAGGCCUCAACCAGUCUGGGAAAAUAAUAUCCCAUUAAAAUGGGAAAAAAAGGGUGAGGAGGGGCUGCAUCUAUACCCAAAAAGCUCAAAGCUUGGCAGCCUAGCAGCGGAUAUUGGACAGAAUGCCACCUUUCUCCUCCUCCCCAGUGCCAUGUGCAGGCCUGCAGCUGGGUGUCCAUAAGCAGCACCGUACCUCAUCCAAAGGCCCCCAAAAAACCUUCAGAGAAUGAUGACUACACCGGUUCUGUUAAUGCGGUUGCCUGGUCGGACUCGGCUUUUGUUCCUGAGGUGGAACCCAGAGAUGUGAGUGGAGGUGAAUGGGAUGCAGAAUCCCAGCCGGCUCCCAGGAUGGAAGCUAUAGCAGAUGGCAUGGGUCCUGCGAGACAGAGAGGGAAACUGGGACGAGAAAGAGAUUCGCUGCGGUUUUAUCAUGCUCUCAAGGCAGUGACGGAGGACAACGAAGUGCCUGGUGGGUAUAUUACUGUCUGUGCACCAGAAGACUUGGGAAACUGACGUUCCGUGUAGAGAUGCAGAAAAUUCUGAUGUCUUUGGAGAAGUAAAGCCUCUUGAGGAUGUCAUCCUCGUGGCAAGAGCAGAUCUUUACAGUCCCACUCUGCUACCUUCUUUCUCAAGAGUUCAAUGGAGAGCCUGUGGACGGGGCUGUGUUUGAGGAGGGCAGCAGCCACACACUGCCCAUCUCCCGUGAAGGCACAGAGGACGUGCAAGCAGCUGGUGCUCCAGGCGCCUCACUGAAGCUGUCAAAACCCGGUAUGCUGCCUGCAAAUGCUCAUCACAUGCAGACACACAGCCCGAAACAAAGCAGCAGACAGACAGAAUUGGCACCAGCGGCCUCUACAUGUGCCAGCGCAUCCAGGGGGGUCGGCAUGGGCAGCUCUGGUGGUGUUCUGGGGGACAGCAGGAAAGGCCCGCAGGGCAGCAACUCUGAGAACUGCCCAGAGCAUGCUGGCUGCCUCCACAACAGGUCACUGCUUUCCCACAGCCACCCGGUGCGGACAGCCUGCCGCCCGCUGCGCAGCCCCCAAACUCACCUCCUGAUUCCAGCGCUGCGCUGCUGCAGCCGAGCGGAGCCGUGGCGGGAUGGGGGCACACGUUGGUGGGCGCUGGGUGCCGCUGCUCCUGGGUGUGCGCCACGGCAUCUGCAAAGGGCCCCGUCGCCUGCUCCCAGCUGGCGGGCAGGGUGCAGGGCCCGGGGAGCACCCGCAGCUGCACUGGAGGUGCUCGGAGGACUGUGGAGGGGCCGGGGCCGGGGCGGCCGGGGGCCUGCAGCGGGCAGCUGCCUGCGGGCUGCGGGGGCUUCCCACGGCACACGGCCCCGGGCCGCAGCCCCAUCGGCUGCUGGCGCUGCCGCUGCCACUUCCCUGCCAGCCGGGGAUGUUGCCAGCAGUGGGCAGGGGCAUUGGGGGGAGGCAUACCCGGCUUCAUCCCGCCGGGUAGGAGCUGGAGGAGGGGUAACUGCCUCUCCCCGGGUGGCAGAUGACCCACAAUUGUGUACAGCCCCUCAGGUGUGAGCUGAACCACAAUUGGGGGCACCUCCUGAGGUGGGAUCAGACCCACAGUUUCGGGCAUUGCCCCAGCUGGCAGCUGAACCACAGUUAGAGGCAUACCCCCAAGUGGCAGCUGCGCUCCCUGUCCCUGCACACCCGGUACCCCCGGCUGGACAGAGGCCUGAGGCACCAUGGAGGUGACAUUGGGGGCAGGGACGGACUGGAAGGAUACGGGCACUGCUCCGCCAAUGGUGGUCUGCAUCGCAGCAGUGGCCGGUGGGGGCACAAAGAUCCAAAUAAAGUUGCGUCGGGUGUCGGAAGCACCGUCAGCGAUGAAGGGAUUCUCUCUGUGGGGAAAUUCCCAAAUGGGCGCCGGGGUGAGAUGUGGGGCACUGGGACCCCCUGGAGGGCUGCAGUGCCAGGAGCAGGAGGAGCCUGCUGCCUUACCUGCCGUGGCAGCUCGAGAGUGGCAGUGGGGGAUUCCGUGAGCGCUGGACAUCCUCCCUGGCUGCCCCUCACGUUGCCUCCCAUGCAUGGGGGGGCUGCAUGAUGCCCUGCAGCCCCAUUGCCCCCAGGUAACACCAGCACUCCCCCCCCACCUUUAUGGCCUGGGAGCUGCCCCCUGGAGAACGAGCACAGCCUCUGCCUCCCAGUGAGUGCUCAGCAGGCCUGGCUGCUCCUGGGCACCUCCACUGCUUCCUCUGCACUCUUCUUCAGGGGAUUGCAAUGGCAGGGGGUUACCGUCCCACACCCGGACAACCCGUGCUGGAAUGUGCUGUGGCUUCCUGAAUUCUGUUGUAGUAAUAAAUAAGAACUGGUAGCCGAGUUGUGCAUAUGGUUUUGUUGUUAUGUCACUGCCAGACACUGCAGGUCUGAGGGAAGAUGAGGCCUCAGGGUGCAGUAGGAGUUCUCAUCUCCGUGUCUGAACGCACUGUGCCUGCGGUGUAUCACCACUGCCUUGCCAAAGUCUCGGCCUGAUCUGCCCUGCGAAGCUCAGUGCAAUCCCCCAGCAAGGAACUUGAAGGGAAAGAGCAUCUGGGGUUAUUUUUGGUUCUUGAUCUUUUCUCUCUGCCAUUCUUUG